rnacentral:lncRNA from 1 species
UCGUGGGUCUUGGUGAACUUCCCGACGGCUCGAAUCGUCUUUCUCCAUGUUCAUUGGCCUUCGAAGUGGAUGCCCUUCAGUAAGUUCUUCAAAUCCAUAGCAAUGAAUGUCGAUAUAUCUGAGUAUUUGCUUUUCAUAUACGCACACCUGCUGCAGCAGAAACAUAAGCUUACAAAUUGGAUCUUUCGCUGAAACAUACUGGCUACUGCUUCUGUUCCAAAGCCAACAUAAAAGAGCUAAAUGAUUUCAAAUUCUAGGAAACAUCUCUUACGUGACUUAGCAGAAAAGGCGUUCCGAUAAAAGAUCAGCUGCUGAUAUUUGUUAUUUCAGUAGACUAAUUGAAACUUUUCGCUGUUCCUUUUGCUAUCAGACAAAAACGUUAAGAAAUUAUUGAUGAUAUUGCUGAUUAGAUUCUUUUACAACACCUGCAGUGGGCGGUAAAGUUUCACACAAGUUAGCAAAUGAACAAGAGCAGGAAUUGCACAGAAGAAAUGAGAGGAACGAAAUGCUCAAAUUGAUGUGUCGGUACAAACGCAUCUGUACGAGAAGAAAGGUACUAUCUAUUGUUUGCUUUGCACGAGAAUUUCUUCUAUUACCAAACAUACUCUUCGUAUAAACUUGACGCAUUGGUUGCGUUCAAAAACAACUAAUUUUUUCUAUUAUGAUACCAGAGGAAGAGAUUUGUACGUGAGGCUAACAUUUACUUGUAAAUACGCAGGUGAAGUUAGAGUACGUAAAUGAUGAAAAUGUUCUAAGAGGUAUUAUAAAUCUUGUGAAAACAUUUCGAGUAAAGAGAUUGGUUACAGCUUCAAGGUAAUAUGAAAUUAAAGACGUUAUGUUCCUAUGGUUCUUGCUUUUCAGCUUUCUAAAUUUAGGCAUGCGCAAUUGAUAUUUGUUAAGACGAAAAGGAAGUAAAAUUCAUGCUUUCCUGGCAUCCAUUGAUCGGUUAACUCUCUAAACUUAAAUAUGACGAAAGUGCGCGGUAAGGCAAAUACACUCACCUGAUCUUACUGGGUUCAGAAACUCGAAUGAGAUGAUGAGUUGACAUGCAGAUCCAUGUCGAAGCAAGCUGAACUGCUCGAAUGCUGCCAGAUAUGGCUGGUCCGCGAUGGAAAUCACAUCUCCACCAGGUAGGCUCGAUAUUCAAAAGAGCAGCCAUUGCUCCAAAUUAGUUGCUCUCAAUUUCUUGUUUUCUUUCUUCAUCCAGACUGUCACCAAAACUUUUUUCAGUACAAGGGACUAUAUGCAGAGAAUUCAGUUUUUCAAAGGUCAUAAAUAGAAAUCCAGAAUUGCAGAAAGAUAGUAUAUGAGUUUCUCACAGGCGUAUAAAUGAAACUUUCAACAUUUCUUGUGCAGCGGAGCUAUUCGAGAAGAUACUGAGACAAAAGUUGAGAAUGAAGAAAGUCAAGAAUUGUCUAUACCUGCACUGGAGCCAUUAACCAAUGAAUCUGAAGCAUACGCAGCGAAUGAAUCUGAAGCAUACGCAACGCCGUCGAGUGAUCUGGUGCCGACUUAUCAUUAGCUAUCCUCUAAAGAGAAUACCAUAAGCACCGCUUGUCACAAACAUUACGUGUAUGAUGAAAAGGAAAAAAUAAUCAUGAUUUAAAACUCCGGAUUUUGAGAAGCUUCUAAUUUUUGGAGUAGCGAAGCAAUUCCAAAAUGCAGGCUAAACAGUGGAGUAUGCUCACGUAGCAAACUCCACAUCACGGAAGCUGAUGGAAACAUUAUGUGCGAGGAUUGAAUAAAACUUAAUCACAACCAUCUUAUAAAUCUGAUUAUGCAGGAUGAUGAAAUACCGAGUGAUCAAGAUGAGAUUCACACUCUCACAGACAGAAGUUUAUGUCACUCGGACGUGAGUCAGAAAACUGAGACCACAGUUCGCGAAAACGAAUCGCCAUCGGUAUCUAAUGUUCCAGAACUCAAUUUAAUUUUACAGACACCUACUUUAACCCGUGUAUGUGUGAGAGCGUAUAGCGAGAGAAAGGGAGAGAGCAAAUGGUAUGGAGGUCGUUUUUAGUCUAAAAUACUACUGUCUGCCAAACAGAAAAUAAACAAAAAUUUAUAGUUCACCUGAAAGUAAACAUCUGUAUGGACUUGAGUCUUUCAUAUAUUAUUAACUUAUGUUAUUUGCUUUGAAGGAAAGCAACACCACAACUGAUGAGAGUGGAGGCGAGAUGUUUUCUGAAGAAGCUCCAGAUCGCCCGGUUAAGCAUAAGAGCUUCAGGAAUGAUGCAGCUGAAGUCCAAUUACUAUGGGUAAUUCUCUCCCACCAAUUUGCUUGGCCCAACAACUGGAAACUUAUACGGUUUGAGCAUGUCACAAAGAAAGCAUCAACUAAAGAUAAAACCACUUCAAUUACUAUGGUUCUAUAAAAAUGAAUAUUGAAACAAGAAAUUUGGUGAUUAUGUAAGCAUUAGUUUACGGAUGGAGGAACUGAUGCUCCAAUUGAUUAAAAUGUCGAAAAUUUCUGGCAACCUAAACAAUCAGAACAUAUCGUCUUUUGCAGGCAGAGGUUAAACAGCUUAAAAGAGAGGUCAAGAAGUUAAAGAUCCGUCUAAAGAACGAAAGUAGUAUAGCAAGCAAAGGAAAGGCCGUGUUCUCAGAGCAGAAGUUAAAAGGUGUUGGAGACAACCCAAAUCCACCAAUUCCAGAACAUGUCACAGAAUUCUCCCACUCAGAACUUAAGCGAGCAACCAACAAUUUCAACCGAAGAAACAUAAUUGGCGAAGGAGGUUACGGCCCGGUCUACAGAGGCAAACUGCGUGGCGCCGUGGUUGCGAUAAAGAUGCUAAAUCCGAAGAGCAAACAAGGCCAUCCCGAGUUCCAGCAAGAGGUGAAUUUCCUUUCCUUUUAAUCCAUGCAACAGAACACUUCUGAAAAAUUCUCAUUCUAAGCAGAUAAAAAAAAUAUAUGUAAGUCAACAGCAAUCUUAUCAGUAUUAUGUAAUACGUGUUUCCGAUUACCCAACAGAACCGAUCACUAACCAAUAGUUUCUAUGGUCUCUCCAGGUUCAUGUGCUAGGCAUGAUCAAGAACCCAUAUAUAAUUAAACUAAUGGGAGUGUGCUCAAAGUCAUGUUCUCUUGUCUACGAAUACCUCCCCAGUGGCACACUGAAGCAACAGCUUGUUCGCGCGCUAUCCUGGCAAGACCGUGUCCGUAUACUCGGCGAGCAACGCUCCGCCCUCAUUUGCCUCCACACAAACAAGCCAUACGCUAUAAUCCAUGCCGAUCUUAAGCCUCAGAAUAUACUUCUCGAUGAGAACAAUAUAAGCCGCCUCGGAGACUUUGGCACUGCUAGAGCGAUACUCAACGACCCGUCGAACCAAGAAACUAUCUGUCGAAAGACGAACCCGAUGGGGACUACGGGGUACAUGGACCCUAUAUUCUUGAUGACGGGAGAGUUAACACCUCAGUCCGAUGUGUAUUCAUAUGGUGUCGUAACUUUACAGCUUCUGACAGGGCUUCUGGAAUUGAAUAUAGCUGAGCAGGUGGAGGAGGGGCUUAGGAGGGGGGUCGCGAGGCAGAUUCUCGACGGUUCUGCUGGAGACUGGCCAGCAGUGCAGGCUGAGAAGCUGCUGAGGUUGGCCUUGAGGUGCUGCAGCCUCGAAAGGAAGCAAAGGCCGAGCCUCGAAUCAAAGGAAUGGAGAACACUCGAUAUAUUACGGGCUAUGGCAGGUAAGAAAAUAAGCCAUGUGUAGGUAGGUAGAAAAACUUAAGAGCAAGCGUAACAAAGUCGAAAAAUGCUUCAUAUCCUGACAUGGAGUUCUUCAUACAUAAAAAAGUGUCAGAUAAUAACAGAUAACAUCAGAAAAGUUGAAAAGAUCACAAGGUGUGCAAAUUGAGACCUUUGAGGAUCUUCUCAACUCACAAGUUAAUCUCCAUGGGAAAAAAAUUGUUGCACAUUUACUACUAGGUUCUUCGACGCAGAAGCAACUUAAGUUAGUUUAGGUUUCUCUAAGAAAAUGCACAACAUACAAUGGCUCUGCGACUGCGACAGCGACAGCAGCGACACAUUGUUAGAGACAAAAUUCUAGCUUUUCUCUUAUUGCGUGAUACUUUCUUUCGAACUUGCAGGGAAAUCAAGAAAACUCGAAAGCACGAGCAUCAAAAAGGGUGCGAUUUGAUCUACGAUCGGAACAAGGAGAGACCUUUUCGAAUUUAACAGUGUGCGCGCUACGUGAAUGGACAUGAAGAAACAUAGAUUACAGUGUGUACGUACAUGUACAUAGUUGUAGUUAUGCAUGUAAACUAUGAAAUAACAGUCGAAAUUGAGCUCGAACAUUUGCCGACUAUUUCAAAGGCAAAGAUUAGAACAAUUUGAGAUUGUAAUUUGUAUAGGAAAGAUCAUGAGAUCCUGGACAUCAUAACCUAUUAUUGUUACAACUCAAUAUAGAUUUUCAAGUUGAAAUUUUGUUAAAUUUGAUGGAUCUAUUAGCAAUUAGUUGAAAAUAUUAUAAAUUUGAAAUUCAAUGAUUAAAAAAAAAUUGAGGAGAGUGUAAACUGAAGUCCAGGGGCCUAUUUCAUAACGGUCUAUAGUUGAGGGGGUACUCUAUAUAUUGUUGUACCUAAAAUUAAGUACUUGAUAUAGAUUUAUCUACGGUAUUGUGUAGAAAUUGGAAUGAAUCGAGAUUCAACAGUGAAGUGAGAGCGAAAGAACAAAAAUAACAAGAAUAAUAAUUCAUUCGAGCAAGGGGGCAAAUGAGAACCGGAAAAAAUAGAGGGGGCGAUACGCGAAAAGUACCCCGCUUUCGACCACCGACCACGGCGAGAGGCGGCGCGAGAUCGACGGAUCGGGGAUGAAGAAGAGGAUAUAUAGAUGCUGAUUGGGCGG